UACAGAGGUCUCAAGCGUUGUUCGGAAUUACUGGGCGUAAAGCGCGUGCAGGCGGCCUUGCAAGUCGGACGUGAAAUCCCACGGCUCAACCGUGGAAGUGCAUUCGAAACUGCGAGGCUGGAGUCCUGGAGAGGAAAGUGGAAUACUCGGUGUAGAGGUGAAAUUCGUAGAUAUCGAGUGGAACACCGGUGGCGAAGGCGGCUUUCUGGACAGGUACUGACGCUGAGACGCGAAAGCGUGGGGAGCAAACAGG
rnacentral:rRNA from 1 species